UGGGGAAUUUUGCGCAAUGGGCGAAAGCCUGACGCAGCGACGCCGCGUGGGUGAUGAAGGCCUUCGGGUUGUAAAGCCCUGUGGGGAGGGAAGAAUAAGGGACGGCGAAUACUCGUCCUGAUGACGGUACCUCCUUAGCAAGCACCGGCUAACUCUGUGCCAGCAGCCGCGGUAAGACAGAGGGUGCAAACGUUGUUCGGAAUUACUGGGCGUAAAGCGCGUGUAGGCGGCUACGCAAGUCGGAUGUGAAAGCCCUUGGCUCAACCAAGGAAGGGCAUUCGAAACUGCGUAGCUUGAGUCCCGGAGAGGAUGGUGGAAUUCUCGGUGUAGAGGUGAAAUUCGUAGAUAUCGAGAGGAACACCGGUGGCGAAGGCGGCCAUCUGGACGGUGACUGACGCUGAGACGCGAAAGCAUGGGGAGCAAACAGG
rnacentral:rRNA from 1 species